rnacentral:lncRNA from 1 species
AACAAUGAAAAGUUACAAAAUGGACACGUGUCCCUGUUUCCUACCAGCGUUUCCUCCAGGGCUUGCUGCUGUGCAGAGACUUCGAACUGCUCCUUCUGCCAAGGGAAACGGUGCCAGCCUUUCAUCCACGACUUUCAGGUGACAUUGUUCUACUCGCCAAACCUGUAACUUUAACAGAGGGUGACAGGGUGACCUUGACGACAGAUGUUCUUAUGGCAACAGAUGGCACUAGCAAACCCGAGAAGCUGCUGUACGCUGUCUCCGUGCCACCUGUGCAUGGUCAGAUUGAGUACAUCAAUUAUCCCGGCGUGCCCAUUUCCAGUUACAGCCAGUUGGAUGUGGUGGCCCAGAAGGUCUGCGAUGUUCAUGACAACAGCCAUGAGGCUAGUAAGGAUUCAUUCAGGUGGAGGAACAAGACAAAUAAUCUCCAAAACUCCUGAAGAAAAGCCCAGCCACCAUGGAGAACCUGAGAGAUGGUCGCCCAGCAAUUCUAGUCACWGCUUGACUUCUACAAGUCACUGA